GACGAACGCUGGCGGCGUGCUUAAGACAUGCAAGUCGUGCGGACACCUUCGGGUGUUAGCGGCGGACGGGUGAGUAACACGUGGAUAACCUGCCUUUGACACUGGGACAACAGGCCGAAAGGCCUGCUAAUACCGGAUAAGCUCACAGGACCGCAUGGUUCUGGGAGAAAAGGCGCUGCAAGGCGUCGGUGAAAGAGGGAUCCGCGGCCCAUUAGCUAGUUGGAGGGGUAACGGCCCACCAAGGCGACGAUGGGUAGCCGGCCUGAGAGGGCGACCGGCCACACUGGGACUGAGACACGGCCCAGACUCCUACGGGAGGCAGCAGUGGGGAAUCUUCCGCAAUGGACGAAAGCCUGACGCAGCGACGCCGCGUGGGGGAGGAAGGUUUUCGGAUCGUAAACCCCUGUUGCCCGGGACGAAUCCCUGGUUUAGACCAGGUUGACGGUACCGGGUGAGGAAGCACCGGCUAA
rnacentral:rRNA from 1 species